UACGUAGGGGGCAAGCGUUGUCCGGAAUCAUUGGGCGUAAAGAGCGUGUAGGCGGUCCGGUCAGUCGGUUGUGAAAGUCAAGGGCUCAACCCUUGAAUGCCGGCCGAUACUGCCGGGCUAGAGUCCGGAAGAGGUGAGCGGAAUUCCUGGUGUAGCGGUGAAAUGCGCAGAUAUCAGGAGGAACACCGAUGGCGAAGGCAGCUCACUGGGACGGUACUGACGCUGAGACGCGAAAGCGUGGGGAUCGAACAGG
rnacentral:rRNA from 1 species